AUUGAACGCUGGCGGCAUGCUUUACUCAUGCAAGUCGAACGGUAACAGGUUGCUUGCACCGCUGACGAGUGGCGAACGGGUGAGUAAUGCAUCGGAAUGUACCGUGUAAUGGGGGAUAGCUCGGCGAAAGCCGUAUUAAUACCGCAUACGCCCUGAGGGGGAAAGUGGGGGACCGAAAGGCCUCACGUUAUACGAGCAGCCGAUGUCUGAUUAGCUAGUUGGUGAGGUAAAGGCUCACCAAGGCGUCGAUCAGUAGCGGGUCUGAGAGGAUGAUCCGACACACGGGGAAUGAGACACGGCACAGCCUCCUACGGGAGGCAGCAGUGGGGAAUUUUGGACAAUGGGCGGAAGAGUGAUACAGCAAUGACGAGUGUCUGAAGAAGGCCUUAGGGUUGUAAAGGACUUUUGUCCGGGAGCAAAGCCUAGGGGUAAAUAACCGAUGGGUAAGAGAGUACCGGAAGAAUAAGCACCGGCUAACUACGUG
rnacentral:rRNA from 1 species